rnacentral:rRNA from 1 species
CAGGAUGAACGCUAGCUACAGGCUUAACACAUGCAAGUCGAGGGGCAGCAUGAUCUAAGCUUGCUUAGAUUGAUGGCGACCGGCGCGACGGGUGAGUAACGCGUAUCCAACCUUCCCUAUAGUAGAGGAUAGCCCGGCGAAAGUCGGAUUAAUACUCUAUGUUUUCCAAUGCAGACAUCUAAAAUGGAACAAAGGUUUACCGCUAUAGGAUGGGGAUGCGUCUGAUUAGGUUGUUGGCGGGGUAACGGCCCACCAAGCCUACGAUCAGUAGGGUUCUGAGAGGAAGGUCCCCCACAUUGGAACUGAGACACGGUCCAAACUCCUACGGGAGGCAGCAGUGAGGAAUAUUGGUCAAUGGGCGAGAGCCUGAACCAGCCAAGUAGCGUGCAGGAUGACGGCCCUAUGGGUUGUAAACUGCUUUUAUAUAGGGAUAAAGUGACCCACGUGUGGGUUUUUGUAGGUACUAUAUGAAUAAGGACUGGCUAAUUCCGUGCCAGCCGCGGC